UGUUUCAGAGCAGGUCAGUCGUU
rnacentral:piRNA from 1 species